GCUCUGAUAGCUCAGUCGGUAGAGCAUUCGGCUGUUAAGCCACCUUCACUGGUACGGUAACCGAAAGGUCGAGAGAUCGAGACUCUCUUGGAGCG
rnacentral:tRNA from 1 species